rnacentral:rRNA from 1 species
UACGUAGGGUGCGAGCGUUGUCCGGAAUUAUUGGGCGUAAAGAGCUUGUAGGCGGUUUGUCGCGUCUGCCGUGAAAAUCCGGGGCUCAACCCCGGACUUGCGGUGGGUACGGGCAGACUAGAGUGUGGUAGGGGAGACUGGAAUUCCUGGUGUAGCGGUGAAAUGCGCAGAUAUCAGGAGGAACACCGAUGGCGAAGGCAGGUCUCUGGGCCACUACUGACGCUGAGAAGCGAAAGCGUGGGGAGCGAACAAG